AGCGCUUACAUUCUUGUGGGGGAAGUAAGAACAAAACACAUAAUAGGUCAUGGUGGUCACAUGAAAAGUAAAGGGUAACCGAUUGGGGUAGGUGGUGGUAGUUUUGUGUGUGUGUUUUUUUUUGAGACCAAGUCUCGCCUGGGCAACAGGAUUCAGUCUCAAAAAAAGGAAAAUUCAGAGAGUAACUGAAGUUUUAUCAUUAAUGGGACUAAAGUGCUUUAGCCCAGAAACAGAUUUGUAAAACCAUUACUGCUAACAAAGACAUCAUUAUAAGCACAGCUGUACUGACACUGAAAUUAAAAUUUGACCCAUCUUGGAAUUUUGGCCCCUUGGUCCUGUUUCCCUGGGACAGAUUGCCUUAAACCAGUUGUGCCCUUUAUACCCACUUUUGGCAUCCCUAAACACUUAGUGCUUGCCAAAAACCUAUCACCAUGGCUAUGGAUUGUAGAUUUUCCCAAUUCCAUUAAUGCCUAUCACUAGUUGGGCAUUUCUAUAGUAUUUUCUAUAACUUAUUUUCCCAGCCUCAGACUCAACAUGACUUUCUCCAAGUAGCUCCAUCAAUACUUUAAGCUCAAAACCAAUUAGCACAGGGGCCUAUGAAACCUGACAAUUUGCUCAUAUGGAGAAUUAGGAAAUAUUGCACUUUAAUGCAUAAGACACCUUGUAAAAUACCCAUAAAAUUUUAACUGGCUGCAGUGUUAAUGAAGCAAAUACCAUGGAGUUAUAAUAGCUUUUGAAUGUGAUUUAUGCUUACAGCUAAUGAACAGAUGAAAAGCACUGUCCUUUUUUAAGUAAACACUACACACUCCAGAUGGAUUGCAAAAAUUUAUUAAAAUUGGAGACACUGUUUUAA
rnacentral:lncRNA from 10 species